rnacentral:rRNA from 1 species
UACGUAGGGAGCGAGCGUUGUUCGGAUUUACUGGGCGUAAAGAGCACGUAGGCGGGUGCGCAAGUCGGUUGUGAAAUCCUCUGGCUCAACCAGAGAAUUGCAGCCGAAACUGCGCAUCUUGAGUCCAGCAGAGGGAAUUGGAAUCCUAGGUGUAGCGGUGAAAUGCGUAGAUAUCUAGGAGAACACCAGUGGCGAAGGCGGAUUCCUGGGCUGGUACUGACGCUGAGGUGCGAAAGCGUGGGGAGCAAACAGG